GAUGAACGCUGGCGGCGUGCCUAAUACAUGCAAGUCGAGCGAACGGACGAGAAGCUUGCUUCUCUGAUGUUAGCGGCGGACGGGUGAGUAACACGUGGAUAACCUACCUAUAAGACUGGGAUAACUUCGGGAAACCGGAGAUAAUACCGGAUAAUAUUUUGAACCGCAUGGUUCAAUAGUGAAAGACGGUCUUGCUGUCCCUUAUAGAUGGAUCCGCGCUGCAUUGGCUAGUUUGUAAGGUAACGGCUUACCAAGGCAACGAUGCAUAGCCGACCUGAGAGGUGUUUCAGCGCCACGUGAAUGGAGACACGGUCCGGACCCCACCGGGAUGCAGCUGAACAGAAUCUUGCGCAAUGGGCGAAAGCCUGCUGGAACAACGCCGCGUGAGUGACGAAGGUCUUCGGUUCUUAGAACUCUGUUAUUAGGGAAGAACAUAUGUGUAAGUAACUGUGCGCAACUUGACGGUACCUAAUCAGAAAGCCACGGCUAACUACGUG
rnacentral:rRNA from 1 species